rnacentral:rRNA from 1 species
AUGGGUGUGGGGUGAUAGGGCCAUCGUUUGGUGGUUUGGUGGGGGAUGGGCUCGCGGCUUAUCAGCUUGUUGGUGGGGUGAUGGCUUACCAAGGCUUUGACGGGUAGCCGGCCUGAGAGGGUGACCGGUCACAUUGGGACUGAGAUACGGCCCAGACUCCUACGGGAGGCAGCAGUGGGGAAUUUUGCACAAUGGGCGAAAGCCUGAUGCAGCGACGCCGCGUGAGGGAUGGAGGCCUUCGGGUUGUGAACCUCUUUCGCUCAUGGUCAAGCCGCGGGUUUGCUCGUGGUGAGGGUAGUGGGUAAAGAAGCUCCGGCUAACUACGUGCCAGCAGCCGCGGUAAUACGUAGGGAGCGAGCGUUGUCCGGAAUUAUUGGGCGUAAAGGGCUUGUAGGCGGUUUGUCGCGUCUGCCGUGAAAUUCCUUGGCUUAACUGGGGGAGUGCGGUGGGUACGGGCAGGCUUGAGUGCGGUAGGGGAGACUGGAAUUCCUGGUGUAGCGGUGGAAUGCGCAGAUAUCAGGAGGAACACCGGUGGCGAAGGCGGGUCUCUGGGCCGUUACUGACGCUGAGGAGCGAAAGCGUGGGGAGCGAACAGGAUUAGAUACCCUGGUAGUCCAUGCUGUAAACGUUGGGCACUAGGUGUGGGGGCCGCCCUUGGUUUCCGCGCCGUAGCUAACGCUUUAAGUGCCCCGCCUGGGGAGUACGGCCGCAAGGCUAAAACUCAAAGGAAUUGACGGGGGCCCGCACAAGCGGCGGAGCAUGCGGAUUAAUUCGAUGCAACGCGAAGAACCUUACCAAGGCUUGACAUGCACCCUGGGUGGCCUGAGAGGGUCGCGCAUUUGGUUGGGGGUGUGCAGGUGGUGCAUGGUUGUCGUCAGCUCGUGUCGUGAGAUGUUGGGUUAAGUCCCGCAACGAGCGCAACCCUUGCCCUAUGUUGCCAGCACGUUGUGGUGGGGACUCGUGGGGGACUGCCGGGGUGAACUCGGAGGAAGGUGGGGAUGACGUCAAAUCAUCAUGCCCCUUAUGUCUUGGGCUUCACGCAUGCUACAAUGGCUGGUACAGAGGGUUGCGAUGCCGUGAGGCGGGGCGAAUCCCUUAAAGC